rnacentral:tmRNA from 1 species
GGGUCCGUAAAGGUUUCGACGGGGAUCUAGAUGCGAGGUAAGCGAGCAGAGCUGAGACAAUCUCUUAAAAGGUCUCACUUUAAAAUUAAACGCUAAUAACGAAUUAGUAGCUGCCUAACGGCAGGCCGCGGCUCAUAUAAUGCCGCCCGUUCCCCCGAGAGUACUGCGGCUCGGUAAGGAGCGUCAUUUAGCAGUGAACGUGCGCGGUGAGUUGCUCUUAUAGCCGCCACGGAUAAAAGAGCUGCCUCCCCCGAUCUUUGUCGGUUUGGCGACGGGGAGGGAGAACACCAAGCCGAAUACGCUCGUAGAAAGCUUCGUGGAAGGAUUUUCGGACAGGGGUUCGAUUCCCCUCGGAUCCACCA